UUCUUCACAGGCUCUUUCUGCAUUCCUGCCUUUUAGUUCCUUGGGAAAGCAUCUGGUUUCCAGCUCCGGGUCUCUCCAAUCUGUCAUUUUCCACAAAUAUACAAACAUCCCUUUUUUCUGAUGAUGGAUUGGGGGGGAUGGUUGCACUUUGGCUUGGAUUGCACAGCCCGGACUGGAAGAGAAGGGCUUUGAAGUUGUGAAAACUUCACAUUCCAUGUCCUGCCAGCAGAACAGCGUGCAGGAGAGACACCAGUGCUUGGAAACGGCCACCCUGGCUCAUUUAUGCCUCAUCCAGCCUCACCCCCUAUAUGACCCACUCAUUUAAUUCACCUAAAGGGCAUCAUUACCCUCUGCUUACUCCACAGUAAGAGGGAGGGGGUUGGAUCUCACAUGGAUUUACACCAGGGGAUGUUCUCCUGGCCUCUGAGGGACCUCUUGGGACCACCGCUUAAAUAUAUAUACCCCACACUUAAAUCCCUGUAAUAAUACUGCCUCUGGGCCACUGGGGCUCCCUGUAAACCCACUCUGAGCUCCCAGAGGGACCACAUGCACAAAUUGCCUCAAAAAAAAAAAAACACCACCACCCUUGGAUUCAUUUCCACCAUCUCCAUCCCUUGUAUCCCAGGGAUUUGCUUUGGAGACCCCCUUCUCAGCGGCACCAGGGUGGCAGGAGCCGUGUCCGUCGGAGUGUGUCUCCCCAAAAGGAGCGUGAUGGGAUCUCAGGAACCUUCCCUUCAGUGUGUGGAAAAAUAUUAGCUGGUACCACGAUGAUUUUCUGCUGAUUUACUAGCCCAAGCCCUAAAUCAACGCUUGUCAGAGGCUUGAGUUACGUGCCUGGAGAUGGAUGGAACCAGCUGCCAGGAGGAAUUACCAAGCAGCAAACUCCAGUUUGAAAUCACUACAUUCUGCCUUGGAACCAGCUUGAAAUAUUCAGCCUCGAGUGAGCAUUUCACCACUCUCAGGUGCUGCAGGAAGGGACUGGUGGUAACAAAUCCUCCUCCUUUAGACCCAAACCUCCUCUGGGGACCAGGAACUGGCCGUGUGACCCCCAGCCUUCAAAGGAUGCUCCAACCUGCAAAAACCAUGAGGUGUGGCCCCCAGGACCGAGGGGAUAAACGGAUUUCCAGCAUCAGAAACCUUAUCUCCAUCCUCCCAACUUUUUUGUUUUCGCUAGCCAGUCGGCCAGACGUGCUGGGGGAUAGAAGUCAGAUGUGUUCUGAGCAGACGUGAGGAAUUCGAGCGGGGGGAAAAAACCAUACCGUGUGGAUGAAGCAGGAAUUUGAGAGCGGAGCCGCUCCGUACCUCCUCCUCCUCAUGGAUAUCUGCUGAAAACGCCCCCAUCCUUUAACCAGACGCCCCCUGAGCCCAGCCCUGUGGGAUCUGAGGACCUCAUCGACCUCAACAACCCAGUCUUUCUUCUUUUGGAGGCCAAGCAAAGCACCGAGCCACGCUUCUUGGUGGUGCCAUCAUCCCCACGCGUGACCAGAUGCAAUGGGACGUGCCAGCUCCCCAUAGCUGUGCCCACAACUCCCUCCUGCUCUGAUUCCUCCCUGUGCCCGGGUAGGGUUUUGCUGAAUGAGCCCACUCCUGGUCUGCAACAAGGGGAUUUGAGGCUUAUCCCUCCUGGAGGAGGAUCUCGGCCACGGUGAAGGUCAGAUCCGUGUCCAGAUGUCCUCAGGGUCUGUGGGCGUUGAUUGCAGAUUCCUUCCGGCCCCGUCCCUUGCACAUUUCCGUUGGCUUCACCCUGCUCCUGGCUUGGAAAAGGCCAGAAGAUUCAACAAAAGCAGCUGCUGCCACCCAUUACCCCAAAACCUGCUGGCACGAGGCUUCUAAAUAACCAGGGGGUGGCUGUCACUGCCAAACCUGGCAUGAGGACCUUCCUCUUCCUCCUCGCUUUAUGCGAACAUGCAAAUCCAGGCAUUGAGGGUGAAUAAAAACUGACAUUUAGGGACUAAUAAUCA
rnacentral:lncRNA from 1 species